rnacentral:rRNA from 1 species
UGUUCCCUACGGGGCGCAGCAGUGAGGAAUAUUGGUCAAUGGCCGGAAGGCUGAACCAGCCAAGCCGCGUGAAGGACGAAGGUGCCAAGCAUCGUAAACCUCUUUUGUCAGGGAACAAAGGCGGGGACGUGUCCCCGGAUGAGUGUACCUGAAGAAAAAGCAUCGGCUAACUCCGUGCCAGCAGCCGCGGUAAUACGGAGGAUGCGAGCGUUAUCCGGAUUUAUUGGGUUUAAAGGGUGCGCAGGCGGUCUGUUAAGUCAGCGGUCAAAGCCCGGGGCUCAACCCCGGCCCGCCGGUGAAACUGG